UGUCGUCAGCUCGUGUUGUGAAAUGUUGGGUUAAGUCCCGCAACGAGCGCAACCCUUAUCCUUUGUUGCCAGCGGUCCGGCCGGGAACUCAAAGGAGACUGCCAGUGAUAAACUGGAGGAAGGUGGGGAUGACGUCAAGUCAUCAUGGCCCUUACGACCAGGGCUACACACGUGCUACAAUGGCGCAUACAAAGAGAAGCGACCUCGCGAGAGCAAGCGGACCUCAUAAAGUGCGUCGUAGUCCGGAUUGGAGUCUGCAACUCGACUCCAUGAAGUCGGAAUCGCUAGUAAUCGUGGAUCAGAAUGCCACGGUGAAUACGUUCCCGGGCCUUGUACACACCGCCCGUCACACCAUGGGAGUGGGUUGCAAAAGAAGUAGGUAGCUUAACCUUCGGGAGGGCGCUUACCACUUUGUGAUUCAUGACUGGGGUGAAGUCGUAACAAGGUAACCGUAGGGGAACCUGCG
rnacentral:rRNA from 4 species